rnacentral:tRNA from 1 species
GGGGUUGUGGCUCAGUGGUGGAGCACUCACCUAGCAUGUGUGAGGCUCUGGGUUCAAUCUUCAGCACCA